AAAUUGAAGAGUUUGAUCAUGGCUCAGAUUGAACGCUGGCGGCAGGCCUAACACAUGCAAGUCGAGCGGUAGCACAGAGAGCUUGCUCUCGGGUGACGAGCGGCGGACGGGUGAGUAAUGUCUGGGAAACUGCCUGAUGGAGGGGGAUAACUACUGGAAACGGUAGCUAAUACCGCAUAACGUCGCAAGACCAAAGUGGGGACCUUCGGGCCUCAUGCCAUCAGAUGUGCCCAGAUGGGAUUAGCUAGUAGGUGGGGUAACGGCUCACCUAGGCGACGAUCCCUAGCUGGUCUGAGAGGAUGACCCCACACUGGAACUGAGACACGGUCCAGACUCCUACGGGAGGCAGCAGUGGGGAAUAUUGCACAAUGGGCGCAAGCCUGAUGCAGCCAUGCCGCGUGUGUGAAGAAGGCCUUCGGGUUGUAAAGCACUUUCAGCGGGGAGGAAGGCGGUGAGGUUAAUAACCUCACCGAUUGACGUUACCCGCAGAAGAAGCACCGGCUAACUCCGUGCCAGCAGCCGCGGUAAUACGGAGGGUGCAAGCGUUAAUCGGAAUUACUGGGCGUAAAGCGCACGCAGGCGGUCUGUCAAGUCGGAUGUGAAAUCCCCGGGCUCAACCUGGGAACUGCAUUCGAAACUGGCAGGCUAGAGUCUUGUAGAGGGGGUAGAAUUCCAGGUGUAGCGGUGAAAUGCGUAGAGAUCUGGAGGAAUACCGGUGGCGAAGGCGGCCCCCUGGACAAAGACUGACGCUCAGGUGCGAAAGCGUGGGGAGCAAACAGGAUUAGAUACCCUGGUAGUCCACGCUGUAAACGAUGUCGAUUUGGAGGUUGUGCCCUUGAGGCGUGGCUUCCGGAGCUAACGCGUUAAAUCGACCGCCUGGGGAGUACGGCCGCAAGGUUAAAACUCAAAUGAAUUGACGGGGCCCGCACAAGCGGUGGAGCAUGUGGUUUAAUUCGAUGCAACGCGAAGAACCUUACCUGGUCUUGACAUCCACAGAACUUAGCAGAGAUGCUUUGGUGCCUUCGGGAACUGUGAGACAGGUGCUGCAUGGCUGUCGUCAGCUCGUGUUGUGAAAUGUUGGGUUAAGUCCCGCAACGAGCGCAACCCUUAUCCUUUGUUGCCAGCGGUUAGGCCGGGAACUCAAAGGAGACUGCCAGUGAUAAACUGGAGGAAGGUGGGGAUGACGUCAAGUCAUCAUGGCCCUUACGACCAGGGCUACACACGUGCUACAAUGGCAUAUACAAAGAGAAGCGACCUCGCGAGAGCAAGCGGACCUCAUAAAGUAUGUCGUAGUCCGGAUUGAGUCUGCAACUCGACUCCAUGAAGUCGGAAUCGCUAGUAAUCGUAGAUCAGAAUGCUACGGUGAAUACGUUCCCGGGCCUUGUACACACCGCCCGUCACACCAUGGGAGUGGGUUGCAAAAGAAGUAGGUAGCUUAACCUUCGGGAGGGCGCUUACCACUUUGUGAUUCAUGACUGGGGUGAAGUCGUAACAAGGUAACCGUAGGGGAACCUGCGGUUGGAUCACCUCCUUA
rnacentral:rRNA from 1 species